GGCUGAUUUAAUUUCAACACAACUUGUGUCAUUAUUUGCGGUCCUCAUCUCGCUGUUUAACAUUGCAUCCCAUAUCAAAAUCGUAUAGCCUCGUGUAUGAGUUCCUGUAUGUUUGUUGGUGUGAUUUUGUUGUUCUCCAGACAAAUCCACUGCACCUGGUGGAAAUUUAAGGCUUAAACUUUGCUGGUAAGUCUGGUACAUGUAGUAACAUAAGAGGUUCGGCACCAAAUGAAUUGUGUGUAAUUCUGAAUGAUUUGUUCUUCACAGGGUCAGUCUGAGGCCGCUCAACUUCUGGCCACUUUCUGGCCUCGUCAAAUGCAAGAGAUCAGAAAUAUGAGCACUAAUGACUUUAAAAUUCAAGAGUUACCACUGGCAAGAAUCAAGAAGAUAAUGAAGCAAGAUGAGGAAGUAAAGAUGAUCAGUGCAGAGGUGAG